rnacentral:rRNA from 1 species
UCCCGAACACGGUAGUUAAGCUUCACAGUGCCGAUGAUACUUGGAGGGUGGCCUCCUGGGAAAGUAGGUCGUUGCCGGAU